rnacentral:lncRNA from 1 species
AGGGAGUGUGUUUUAAAGGGCUUCUAAUACAGUGACGUACUGAAUCUUCGAUUGGGCAACAACAUUAACAUUUUUAUUUUUGUAUUUGUUCAUCAACAAGAGGAAGCAAACAAAAGACAUAUGGAUAGACGCAAGUACAUUUUUCACUCUGUAUUCGGUAGCCUAGUGGUUACAGUGUUGGGCCAGUAACCAAAAGGUUGCUGGAUUGAAUCCCUGAGCUGACAAGGUAAAAAAUCUGUCGUUCUGCCCCUGAACAAGGUGGUUAACCCACUGUUCUCUGAAGUUUUGGAGAAUUGUCAUUUGAUCGUUUCAACACCGGGAUAGUUUACAGAAAUCUAUUUAUUAACUAAAGCUGAGGAGACUUCAUUUUGAGAGCCUGGCCCUAGUACAAAACGAGCAAACCCAGAAUAAAAAUGUGAAAUAGAGACAUUUCUGAGAAGUACAUUCUGGAAUAGCACAAUUGGUAGCACCAUUAGUUGCUAGAAAGACAUGCUCGUUCUGUAGAACAGCACUCUCACAAGGCCUGUUGUGGUGGUGCACCCUCGUAUAGACGCAUUUUCAUCACAGCUUGGAGAAUCCGGAGAGGCGUUCUCACUCGGUGAAGAGGUCGCAGUGAAUCAGAGUGUCUAGGGCUGGUGGGAGCAGCCUCUCAUUUGGUCAGAAUUGGCGGCGAGUAGUUCGACAAAAUGGAGGAAAUGGAGAAAAAGCUGGUGAAGCAACAGCUGUGCUGGAAUAUGAACAAUAUGGGUGUCAGUUCUGAUGGUGUGGAGCGGGAGGAUGAGGGUCAAGGACCGGAAUGGUCGGUAGUGGAGAGACAUAGGAAGAAGCGAGAUCAUGAUACAGAAAGCAGUGGAGCUUCUAGUAAAGAAAGCAUAAAGAGAGCCAAGGCAGGAAGCAAGAGUAAUAAUUUGUUGGAGUGGAAAGUGGUGACAGUGUUUGAUGAGAUCACAGGGCCUCACUUACACCCUAACCGACUAAUGCAGUAGAGAAAGAGGUAGGUAGGGUGAAAUUAACUGGGUUCAUUGGAAAUGGUAGAUUGUUAAUAUUGUGUGGUAGUUAGGCUCAGCAAGAGAAGAUUCUGAAAAUGGAAAAGCUGAAUGGGAAAAAGAUUAAAAGCCAUGUCCCUAGUGCUUAUGCUAGAUUGAGGGGAGUCACCACUGGGUCCCAAUAUCUAUGUCCAUAGAUGAUAUUAAAGAAAAUGUGAAGGGAGGAAGAGUGAUUGAGGCCAAAAAGUUGAUCAGUAGAAAAGAAUGUCAAAGAAGUGAAAGUCUAUCAGUGAGAAGGUUAUGCCUGGGAAAGUACAGAUAGUGUGAAGGUGAAGCUUAAGUGUUGUUAUUGUUGGGGGAACAUAGUGCAGCAUUUGGUGGAUGCCAGGUUUAGAGAGAGGCUAGAGCGGCUCAGAGAUAUAGAAUUAGUCAUAAUGUAUCGUAUGCAGAGGAUGUAAAACAGAUUGAUGGAACUACAGUGUGGAAUGAUGGACCUUAUGUUCUUAUCACAAUGACCCUGAUGAUUUUGAAAGAUACGCUAUGGCAGGCAUUGUAUUCAGCCCUGAGACCCUAGAUGACCCGUCAAAUUAUGCCUAAAAAUGUCAGAGAUUUAAUCGCUGAGAUAAACGGUGGGGCGAUUAAUACUAAUCUAAUCACCACACCCAUAAACUCACCAGUGCUUUCUCAACAUGAUAGCCUUACAGAAUUUGAGAGAUAUAGCGAUAUCUUAUAGCAGGGUGGUGGCCUUGAAGAUGUGAGGAUUACACAUGCAGAACUCAGACAGUUUUUACAUUUCCAAGGUAUUGUAAAUGCUGGAAUAAAUUAUUUAGCAAUUUUCUAUUUACUCAUUAUACUUUGGAUGAUUUGGUCCGUAGAGCCUCAGAGUUAGCAGACGGUCCAGGUGACCGAUUACAUAUAGAAUUGUCUGGGGAUUCACUGUUAUCACCUGUACAUGUUAUUAUGAGACUUGAUGAAUAUAAUGAGGUAAUAAUGGUAUAAUGAAUAUAUAAUAUAAGGUGUGAUGCAAUGCGAUCAAGGUGUAAUGCAAAGCGAUCUUUUGACUGAUGAGACCUUGGAACUGGUCAUACAAAUUACUAACUGAUUUGUUUUUUACCUGCACAUAGUUAUCCACUAAGUUCGUAAGAGACUCCAGGUUUAUAACAGACGUGUUGUGCCUGUGUAGAAUUAUGCCUUUUUCUUUAGGACAUGUCAAACCCUUAAGGGUUUUAUAGCCAUUGAGCUCAGGUGCAUCUUGUUUCCAUUGAUCAUCCUUGAGAUGUUUCUACUACUUGAUUAAAGUCUACCUGUGGUAAAUUUAAUUGAUUGGACAAGAUUUGGAAAGGCACACACCUGUCUAUGUAAGGUCCCACAGUUAGUGCAUGUCAGAGCAUAAACCAACCCAUGAGGUCAAAGGAAUUGUCCGUAGAGCUCUGAGACAGGAUUGUGUCGGCACAGAUCUGGGGAAGGGUACCAAAAAACACAGUGACCUCCACCAAGAACACAGUUUCCUCCAUCAUUCUUGAAUUGAAGAAGUUUGCAACCACCAAUACUCUCCUAGAGCAAACAGGGGAGAAUGGCCUUGGUCAGGGUGGUGGCAAAGAGCCCAAUGGUCUCUAGUGUUCCUCUGUGGAUAUGGGAGAACCUUCCAGAAGGAAAGCCAACCCUGCAGCACUCCACCAAUCAGGCCUUUAUGGUAGAGUGGCCAGACGGAAGCCACUCCUCAGUAAAAGGCACAAGACAGCCCGCUUGGAGUUUGCCAAAAGGCACCUAAAGAUUCUAAGACCAUGAGAAACAAGAUUCUCUGGUCUGAUGAAUUCAAGAUUGAACUUUUGGGCCUGAAUGCCAAGCAUCACGUCUGGAAGAAACCUGGCACCAUCCCAACGGUGAAGUAUGGGCAGGCACUGGGAAACUAGUCAGGAUCGAGGGAAAGAUGAACGGAGCAAAGUACAGAGAGAUCCUUGAUGAAAACCUGCUCCAGAUCGCUCAAGAACUCAGACUCUGGCAAAGGUUCACCUUCCAACAGGACAACAACCCUAAGCACACAGCCAAGAAAACGUAGGAGUGGCAUCCGGACAAGUGUCUGAAUGUUCUUGAGUGGCCCCGCCAGAGCCCAGAUUUGAACCCUAUCAAACUUCUCUGGAGAGACCUGAAAAUAGCUGUGCAGUGACGCUCCCCAUCCAACCAGACAGAGCUUGAGAGGAUCUGCAGAGAGGAAUAGGAGAAACUCCCCAAGUACAGGUGUGCCAAGCUUGUAGCAUCAUACCCAAGAAGACUCGAGGCUGUAAUCACUGCCAAAGAUGUUUCAACAAAGUAAAUUUACAUUUACAUUUAAGUAAUUUAGCAGACGCUCUUAUCCAGAGCGACUUACAAAUUGGUGCAUUCACCUUAUGAUAUCCAGUGGAACAACCACUUUACAAUAGUGCAUCUAAAUCUUUUUUUGGGGGGAUUAGAAGGAUUACUUUAUCCUAUCCUAGGUAUUCCUUAAAGAGGUGGGGUUUCAGGUGUCUCCGGAAGGUGGUGAUUGACUCCGCUGUCCUGGCGUCGUGAGGGAGCUUGUUCCACCAUAGGGGUGCCAGAGCAGCGAACAGUUUUGACUGGGCUGAGCGGGAACUGUGCUUCCUCAGAGGUAGGGGGGCCAGCAGGCCAGUGGUGGAUGAGCGCAGUGCCCUCGUUUGGGUGUAGGGACUGAUCAGAGCCUGAAGGUACGGAGGUGCCGUUCCCCUGAGUAAAGGGUCUGAAUAGUUAUGUAAAUGUGAUAUUUCAGUUUUUUAUAUUUAAUACAUUUGCUAAUUGUUCUAAAAACCUGUUUUUGCUUUGUGAUUAUGGGGUAUUGUGUGUAGAUUGAUGAGAAAAAAACAACAAUUUAAUCCCUUUUAGAAUAAGGCUGUAACAAAAUGCUUUCCGAAUGCACUGUAAAUUAUCAUCCAAGCCAGAACAUGACUACUGUGCUACUGUGUGCAAUAGAAUGUGAUUAAAAAUAUACUACUAGUCACUUAAUUGCUUUAGAAAAGUCUCUGUUAAAAGUGUUUGCACCUGGCCUGGUAUUGAAGAAGAAGAAUACUUUAUUAAUCGAUACGAUAAGGAAAUGUAUCUUCUGCUAUACCCAACCCCUCCGAUAUACACACAAACAUAUAUUAGGUUGGCUGAGCUGGAGCAGAGGGCAGCCACAGUGCAGUGCCCAACGACCAGUGUUGUGGCUCCAAAAUGGGCCCCCAAAAUCGAAUGUAUAUCAUCCCAACCACUUUGAAUCCCAGCAGCCCCAUUUGAUUUUAAAAACUGCUCCAUCCCCUUUGAGCUAAUGAUUUCAUGACCAAUCUGGGCAAUAACCAAAGGGUUUGUCUUGCCUAAUUUAGGCUUGUUGUGGGUGGAUUUGCAGAUGGACUCAAAUCCACAAGGAAAUGUAUUACCUCUUUUCAGAUUUGUGGGAAUCAUAAACAUAUAUACAAAACACAGGUAUAUUAUGGUUUUCUUCUUAUGUGAUUAAGAAACAGAAUAUCAAAAAGUCAGCGGUAGCCCUGAAAGGCUUAGUGAUAAAUGUCAGGGAAGCUUUGAUGGAGGAUUGAUAUCAACAUCAGCCGAAUUGUAAUUCUGUUAAGCAAGUACAUUUGGGAAUUGAGUUCCCCUGUCACGUCCUGGCCAGUAUAAGGGUUAAUUGUUAUUGUAGUUUGGUCAGGACGUGGCAGAGGGUAUUUGUUUUAUGUGGUUCAGGGUGGUGUGUUAGUUAGGAGGGCGUUUGAUUUAUUAUUUCCGGGUUUUGAGUUAUGGUCUAUGUUUAUGUAUUUCUAUGUGUAGUCUAGUGAGUGUGUUUCUAUGUUGAGUUAAUUGGGGUGGACUUCCAAUUGAAGGCAGCUGUUUGGUGUUGCCUUUGAUUGGAAGUCCUAUAUUAGUUUGGUGUGUUUGUCUUGUAUUUGUGGGAGAUUGUUUUUGCAUUGUGUGUUUUUGUGAGCAUGCAAAACUGUCAUUGGUCGUGCUUAUUGUUUUCUUGUUUUUUUUGUGUUCAACGUUCUUUAAUAAAUUAAGAAAAUGAACACCAACUCUGCUGCAUAUUGGUCCACCUUUUCAGACGACG